rnacentral:rRNA from 1 species
AUUGAACGCUGGCGGCAUGCUUUACACAUGCAAGUCGAACGGUAACAGGUUAAGCUGACGAGUGGCGAACGGGUGAGUAAUGCAUCGGAACGUGCCCGAUCGUGGGGGAUAACGCAGCGAAAGCUGCGCUAAUACCGCAUACGAUCUGAGGAUGAAAGCGGGGGACCGUAAGGCCUCGCGCGAUUGGAGCGGCCGAUAUCAGAUUAGGUAGUUGGUGGGGUAAAGGCUCACCAAGCCAACGAUCUGUAGCUGGUCUGAGAGGACGACCAGCCACACUGGAACUGAGACACGGGCCAGACUCCUACGGGAGGCAGCAGUGGGGAAUUUUGGACAAUGGACGCAAGUCUGAUCCAGCCAUUCCGCGUGCAGGAUGAAGGCCCUCGGGUUGUAAACUGCUUUUGUACGGAACGAAAAGGUCUCUCUUAAUACGGGGGACUCAUGACGGUACCGUAAGAAUAAGCACCGGCUAACUACGUGCCAGCCGCCGCCGUAA